AUGCACAGCCAAUUAAACAGCAGCAGCCUAAGGUGAUUUGCAAUGCAUCCUCAGUUGAGAACGAUUGGGGACAGUCUUCUGGACAGAAUUCAAUUCACAAGACAGUGAUGUCUCAACAAAACAAAAGUAAAACUGUUGCGACUAUCUCUAAUAGUCAUCCAGAUUUGGACUGCUCUAAUCAAAUACAGUCAAAACCUCAAAGUUCCUCAAUUAUAGCUACUCCUACUGUGCCAAAGAGGGCAAAGGCCGCUAAAGCGAAAUUGUGGAAAGACCAAAGAGACUACGAUGAUGAGGAAAGCUGGGGUGAAGGACUCGCUAGUUUUUCAUGGGAAGAAGAAGACCAAGAGGGUGAUCAACACAGUAAUAAAGGAGACAGUGAAGAUUCAGUCGAGCAAAUAUGUCAAAGGAAAAAUAAAAAU
rnacentral:lncRNA from 1 species